AGGACGAACGCUGGCGGCGUGCCUAACACAUGCAAGUCGAACGAUGAAGCCUUUCGGGGUGGAUUAGUGGCGAACGGGUGAGUAACACGUGGGCAAUCUGCCCUUCACUCUGGGACAAGCCCUGGAAACGGGGUCUAAUACCGGAUAACACCUUCUCCUGCAUGGGAGGGGGUUAAAAGCUCCGGCGGUGAAGGAUGAGCCCGCGGCCUAUCAGCUAGUUGGUGGGGUGAUGGCCUACCAAGGCGACGACGGGUAGCCGGCCUGAGAGGGCGACCGGCCACACUGGGACUGAGACACGGCCCAGACUCCUACGGGAGGCAGCAGUGGGGAAUAUUGCACAAUGGGCGAAAGCCUGAUGCAGCGACGCCGCGUGAGGGAUGACGGCCUUCGGUUGUAACCUCUUUCAGCAGGGAGAAGCGCAAGUGACGGUACCUGCAGAAGAAGCACCGGCUAACUACGUGCCAGCAGCCGCGGUAA
rnacentral:rRNA from 1 species